rnacentral:rRNA from 1 species
GAUGAACGCUGGCGGCGUGCCUAAUACAUGCAAGUCGAGCGAACAGACGAGGAGCUUGCUCCUCUGACGUUAGCGGCGGACGGGUGAGUAACACGUGUAUAACCUACCUAUAAGACUGGGGUAACUUCGGGAAACCGGAGCUAAUACCGGAUAAUAUAUUGAACCGCAUGGUUCCCUAGUUAAAGUCGGUUUUUCUUUCACUAAUAGCUGGCUCCGGGUCGCAUUAGCUAGUUGGUAAGGUAACUGCUUACCAAGGCAACGAUUCGUAGCCGACCUGAGAGGGUGAUCGGCCACACGGGAACUGAGACACGGUCCAGACUCCUACGGGAGGCAGCAGUAGGGAAUCUUCCGCAAUGGGCGAAAGCCUGACGGAGCAACGCCGCGUGAGUGAUGAAGGUCUUCGGAUCGUAAAACUCUGUUAUUAGGGAAGAACAAAUGUGUAAGUAACUAUGCACGUAUUGACGGUACCUAAACAGAAAGCCACGGCUAACUACGUG